AGCACUACUCACGGCCCAGUAGCACAUGCUUUGCGGCCCGGUGGUUGGAGACCACUGCUCUAAAGGAGUGGUCAAGAGACUGGAGGGGAAAUAAGGGAAAGGCUUUUCACCAGAGGACUGCACCUAAACAAUGUGAGGAAUCACAGGCAAGCUUCACUGGACAAUAUGGAUCAUAAUGUGACAGACACUGCAUCCAACCAUGGCCUGAGAGGCCACGCCUGUAACAAAUCGUCUCCUUUACCCUCUUGACGAAGGGACUUGGCCCGAAACGUCGACAGCGCUUCUCCCUAUAGAUGCUGCCUGGCCUGCUGCAUUCCACCAGCAUUUUGUGUGUGUUGUUUGAAUUUCCAGCAUCUGCAGAUUUCCUCGUGUUUGUCCUUUACUCUCCUAUGUCUAUUCCAGCAGUUCGUUGCUAAAGGCCCUGAUUGCUGGCACACAAAACAAGUUCUCUGUGAUGUCACAGCAGCUACAUUCACUACAGCCACUUUAUGACUUCCCCUCCCCAUCCUCCGGUCUAUCUCACUGGCCCCUGACACUAUCACUGAGUAGAUUGAUCCCAGCACUAUCCCCAAAUCUAAAACUUCCUGUUGGGCUGAGCUCAGGCCUUCCUUCAGCAUCUUCAGGAAGACUGACCCAUCCCUCUCCGGAUUUACCAACCCUGAAUACUCUUCAUACACUCGCUGUUUACGCUCUGCAUAUUGCAUGGCUGGCUCUUCAGCUCUCCGAAUCACUGACAUUAUCGUUCUCCAGUUACUCUCACCUUCCUCCUGUCGCUGUCUCACUUUUGCUUUGAAGAAGUGAUACCUCUCUUCAUUGCUGGCAUUCCUGGGGGCUGCCCAUGCACCAUCCUGGAUUCCCUGUCUGACAUAUCCCCUGGGCACUUUGCUCUUACCAACACAUCUUUAGGGUGCACCUGGUGAAUCUGAACCAUUUCCUUGAGCUUGAGCCAGAAUUCUGUAUUCCUACUGAUGACCUUAAGUGAGGGCAGCUCUGACAAAAUGCUCUACUCUGCUGUGGGGUGAAGGGCUUAUGGAUGGUUGUAAUCAUGAUCAAAAGGGCUCACUCGGGUCAUCAGAGUUCUUGACCUGAAAUUGCUUGACCUCAAUAGGUGCCUUCCUGACAGAUAUAUCAGGAUAAAACCUCUCCCUGAAAUAUCUCCACACUAAUUCCCACACUAUGCAAAACAUAAAUGACGGGUACAAGUUAAACAGUACACACUUAAAAUCGCCAAUCUUUUCAAAGAUAAGAUCAAGAUUUUAUUACACAUGGUACAUUUAGAGUCCUUAGAAUAUUUCAAGGGAUAACAUAAAAAUGAAACAAAAAUCUGGACUUGUGGCCAACCACUCAACCUCUUAAGCUUCACUGCCAUUUAAUAAGAUCACAGGAGAAUUAAUUGUAACCUCAGCUCUGCAUUCCAACUUUCCGAUGAUAACAUUUCACCCCUUGUUAAUUAAUAUCUGCCUUAAAAUAUUUAAAAGCUCUGCUUCCACCACCCUUGAGGAAGAGAACUCCAAACAUUGAUAACCCUCGGUGAGAAAGAGAUUCAUAUAAUCUCUGCCUUAAAUGUCUGGCCCCUUGUUGGGGCACUUUUGGAGUUAGCACAUAUAACAAAUAUCUUCAGUAACUGACUUCAGCCACCAAUCUCCAAAUGUUAAAUGUAGAUUAAAUUUGAAACGCAGCUCUGAACAACAGAUUCCCAAGAACUGUGAAUCACAGUUAAAUGGAAGAGCAGACAAUGCUGAUUUAAAUGUAGUGUGGGUGCGAAGAGGGAGGUGUGAUGGUUGUAUGUAAUUCAAAGGAAGCUUUGUGCAUGCAUUGUAAAUAUGGAAUUGUCCUGAAUUGUUCUUUAAUCUUCAGCAUAUAAAAUGUUGUGUAGUAUUGGCUCAAUGUGUCCUUUUACCUCUGAAAGGUGUCUCGAUCUGAUGCCUGCUCUGUCUUAUUUUGUCGAAUAAAGAGACUGCUUCAUA